AUAUACCGCGCUAUUACAUUGAGGUUACUCCGCGCCGUCCGUGCCCACCUGACGACUGCUCGCUACGUUUUGUUUGUU
rnacentral:sRNA from 6 species